GAGACAGCAGCAGCCGCGGUAAAACGAGGGGUGCAAGCGUUAUUCGGAUUGAUUGGGUGUAAAGGGUGUGCAGACGGCUUAUUAAGUCACUUGUUAAAUUCUUCGGCCUAACUGAAGGUCUGCAAGUGAUACUGAUGAGCUAGAGGGUGGAAGAGAGAAGUGGAAUUCUCGGAGUAGCGGUAAAAUGCGUAGAUCUCGAGAGGAACACCAAUGGCGAAGGCAGCUUCUUGGUCCAUUCCUGACGUUCAUACACGAAAGCGUUGGGAGCAAACAGGAUUAGAUACCCCCGUAGUCCCUGUCUCUUAUAA
rnacentral:rRNA from 1 species